rnacentral:rRNA from 1 species
AUACGGAGGAUCCGAGCGUUAUCCGGAUUUAUUGGGUUUAAAGGGUGCGUAGGCGGCCUUUUAAGUCAGCGGUGAAAGUCUGUGGCUCAACCAUAGAAUUGCCGUUGAAACUGGGGGGCUUGAGUAUGUUUGAGGCAGGCGGAAUGCGUGGUGUAGCGGUGAAAUGCUUAGAUAUCACGCAGAACCCCGGUUGCGAAGGCAGCCGGCCAAGCCAUGACUGACGCUGAUGCACGAAAGCGUGGGGAUCAAACAGGAUUAGAUACCCUGGUAGUCCACGCAGUAAACGAUGAUCACUAGCUGUUUGCGAUACACUGUAAGCGGCACAGCGAAAGCGUUAAGUGAUCCACCUGGGGAGUACGCCGGCAACGGUGAAACUCAAAUGAAUUGACGGGG